rnacentral:lncRNA from 1 species
AUGGUGUUGGAGGCCAGCGACAUGGAAGAUGGGCAGCUUUCCAACCUGACUCAGAUUCCGACAUAAUGGUCACACCCAGCAACAGGCUGCAGCAAGUGUGGAAAGUGCUAGGUGGGGACAGUGCUUAUAAGGGCCUUCCAGAGCAGGGCGACUGCAUGUGCACCAGUAUCACAUUACCGAGUUGUUGAAAGUGUGGAUUCAAGUGAAGAGAGUUUUUCUGAUUCAGAUGAUGAUAGCUGUCUUUGGAAGUGGAAGUGAUGGAAAUAUGUAAACUCUCCUCCCAAACCAGAGUCUUUUCAGUUUGGCCAGAGCAGUCAGAAACCACCUGUUUCUGGAGGAAAGAAGGUUAACAACAUAUGGGGUGCUGUACUGCAGGAACAGAAUUAAGAUGCAGUGGCCACUGAACUUGGUAUCUUGGGAAUGGAGGGCACUAUUGACAGAAGCAGACAAUCCGAGACCUAUGAUUGUUUGCUUGCUAAGAAACUUAAGAGGGAAUCUCUAGAGCAUACGAAAGGGCUAGACAAACAACUAGCUGAAUAUAUGCAUGGUGGCAAAAACAAACAAACAAAAAAAUGGGAUCAAAGGAAGAGGAAAAGGGGCAAGGUCAUCUCAAAAGGAAAUGACCUGUCAAAGACAGGCUAGGGAACAGACCAGAACCAAAAAUGAACUAUAAAGGUUGAUACGAGAUCACAGAGGAAGAUUCCCAAGAGAAAGUGGCUGAUGAAAUGUUAUUCAGGUUACAGGAACCAAAGAAAGAUCCGAUGGCUCAAGCAGUGAGGAUUAUUGGGAACAAAAGGCAAUUGUUCUGCUGGAAACUGCUGAAGUAGAACAAAAUGGUGGCCUCUUUAUAAUGAAUAGUAGUUGAAGAGAACACCAGGUGGAGAUUUUCUGAAUCUCUUGAAAAACACUCCUAGUAUCAGCAAGGAACAAAUUAAGGAUGUUUUCUACAUAGAAAAUCAAAAGGAAUAUGAAAAUUAAAAAGCUGCUAGGAAGAGAACACAAU